AUGAUAUGUAUGAUAUAAACUACACAUGGGUGUGAAGUCCAGAACAAUAAUAGCCCAGGUUUAUAGGGAUAUGGACCAUGGGGAUCAAAGUGGCAUGAGCUGGGCUUGAGACUUUUCUAGAAGUACCUCAUGCAGGGAAGUUAAGUGCCCGCAUGCCAAAGAUGAACUGAGAGAGCUGGAGGGAGAGACGACAGUUAAACGGACGGAGAAGGUGUGCCUGGGACUCAGCUGGAGGAGACAGAGCUGUGUACUGCCUGAGGACUCUAAAAAGUGCGACAGACCUGGCUCUGGACGGCGGCUCUGGGGGAGAGAGACUGAUCAAGUUCCCCGGCGGCCCCCGGUGAAGUGGAUAGCGAGACCGCAGUGUGGACGUCUGCGGCGAGCGGCAACGGGCUCCGACAUCAGCAAAUCCCGCUGGGCGGAGCGGAAGAGGAGUCUCCUGAUCGUGACCCCGUGUGGCGGUGGGCAGCGAGAUUGGUCGCCUGUCCGGUGUAUUCACGAGAUCCUGAUCCUGGAGAGUCCUGUACCGUGAGGGCAACCUGAAAACCAAGAAAGUACCGGAUUAAGUAGGUCGCCUGUCCGGUGUAUUCACGAGAUCCUGAUCCUGGAGAGUCCUGUACCGUGAGGGCAACCUGAAAACCAAGAAAGUACCGGAUUAAGUAGGUGAGGCGAUCUCCCUAUAUUAAAUCAAUAUCUACGGCAAGACACUCACAACACCCACUGCCUAUAUUAGGUAGGGUUCUCUCAAGCAAACCCGGGUGUAUCUAUAUUUGCUUGAGUGGAGGCACGCCAAAUUAUACAU